rnacentral:tRNA from 4 species
GUGGCUGUAGCUCAGUUGGUUAGAGUUCCGGAUUGUGAUUCCGGAGGUCGGGGGUUCGAGUCCCCUCAGCCACCCCA